rnacentral:hammerhead_ribozyme from 1 species
AUCUAGAUCACGAGUCCCAAAUAGGACGAAACGCGCGUCUUGAAU